GAUGAACGCUGGCGGCGUGCCUAAUACAUGCAAGUCGAGCGAACAGACGAGGAGCUUGCUCCUCUGACGUUAGCGGCGGACGGGUGAGUAACACGUGGAUAACCUACCUAUAAGACUGGGAUAACUUCGGGAAACCGGAGCUAAUACCGGAUAAUAUAUUGAACCGCAUGGUUCAAUAGUGAAAGACGGUUUUGCUGUCGCUUAUAGAUGGAUCCGCGCCGCAUUAGCUAGUUGGUAAGGUAACGGCUUACCAAGGCAACGAUGCGUAGCCGACCUGAGAGGGUGAUCGGCCACACUGGAACUGAGACACGGGCCAGACUCCUACGGGAGGCAGCAGUAGGGAAUCUUCCGCAAUGGGCGAAAGCCUGACGGAGCAACGCCGCGUGAGUGAUGAAGGUCUUCGGAUCGUAAAACUCUGUUAUUAGGGAAGAACAAAUGUGUAAGUAACUAUGCACGUCUUGACGGUACCUAAUCAGAAAGCCACGGCUAACUACGUG
rnacentral:rRNA from 1 species